CUUUACAAUUCUGCUGAAAUAGCCUUGACGUUGCGUAAUCCUUUCGACGACGUCAUGAUUUUUCUCUCUUUUCUCGUCAACAACACCCUUUCAACAGCUGAUAUAUAAAAAAUUUGUAAGGGUUCCACGGAACCCAGUGUCUCGCCUACUUUUGCUGUUAAUCGCAGACUCAACAAAAAUGAGGAAAAACAUCAAUAAAAAUUUCCCUCUCGAUAUUAUCUUUUGAUUGAAAGAAGCUUCCAAGUUUGGUAAAAAAA
rnacentral:lncRNA from 1 species